AUUGAACGCUGGCGGCAGGCCUAACACAUGCAAGUCGAACGAGUGGCGGACGGGUGAGUAAUGUCUGGGAAACUGCCUGAUGGAGGGGGAUAACUAAUGGAAACGGUAGCUAAUACCGCAUACCAUCAGAUGUGCCCAGAUGGGAGUAGCUUGUAGGUGGGGUAAAGGCUCACCAAGGCGACGAGCCCUAGCUGGUCGGAGAGGAUGACCAGCCACACUGGAACUGAGACACGGUCCAGACUCCUACGGGAGGCAGCAGUGGGGAAUAUUGCACAAUGGGCGCAAGCCUGAUGCAGCCAUGCCGCGUGUAGGAAGAAUGCCUUCGGGUUGUAAAGUACUUUCAGCGGGGAGGCGUUACCCGCAGAAGAAGCACCGGCUAACUCCGUGCCAGCCGCCGCGGUAAUAC
rnacentral:rRNA from 1 species